GUUCUCCCUCUGUCCUAUAAGCUUUGCAAAGAGCAUGGACCUCCAGGGUUCCAGGGGCUUCGCUGGGACUAGGCAAUGCUUUCUAGAAAAUACAAAUGUUGGUUUCUUCUGGAAUGUGUUGGGUGGGAGGAGCAGCAGGCUAGGUACCCGGUUUUCUGUAGAUUUGCUGUGUGAUUGUGGACAAGGGUAUUCCCCUCUCUGAGCCUCAAGGGCCCACACCUACAUGAUGUGGUGGGGACACGACUGGACUCUAGAGUGUCCAGAGUCCUUCUAGAUCAGACACGGAGGGACAAUCUGACCCCACCCCAUUCCUCGGUGUGAAUGUGGGUGUGAAUGCCGGUGAAUGGCCGGCAUAGAUCUCCAUGGAGCGAGAGAGAAACUGGUGCAUCAAGGAAUGAGGAUGGCACUCCCUCAUUGCCUCCCACUCCCUUGCCCCCAUCCUACCCUUCAUUUCUCAGCCCCAAAGUAGGCCCCAGUGACCUGGACCAGAUGGAUUUUCUGCACCAGGACUUGAAGUCUUGGAACAUCAGUGCUGGAAGCACUCUAGUCUUGCACCCAUUGUUCAGAUGAGGAAACUGAGGCAUGGAGAGGAGAAGCAAGGAACUCAAAGUGAUUUAGCCAGUCACAGGUCCAGCUGGGACUCCAGCAAAUGUCCUGACCUCUUCUGCUCACUGGGGGAUCCUGAUCGGCCAAAUACUAAACAAAGGGGCCUCGGGAGGAAGGUGGAGAGAAGAGAGCCUUUAAGUUCCUUUUGCUUUGAAGAUGGAAUAAUCAUGACUUCCUUCUCCAAAUAUCUUUUGGCCCUUCCUAGAACCAGAUGGCGGAUGUUUGGAAUUUAUGUUGUAAAUAGUGCUUAAGAAGGGGUGGGAGUGCAGAUGUGUUACUUUCUUCCACCACCAGAAACGAGAUCUGAGGGAGAGAAGUGGGGGAGGGAAGCUGACUAUGAAAAGAUUUUGGGAGAAGGAAGAAGUGAGGGGGAAGGAAGACAGAACAGCGAUGUGAGAUGGGAGGAGAGGGAGCGAAAAUGGAAGAGAGAUGGAUGGAGUGAGACUGACAGCAAGACAGAGAGGAAGAGAAAGGGAAAGGAGAGAGCGAUGGGAGAAGGAGGAGGAAGAAAGAUGGGGAGGGGGCUCUCAGGGUGCAGGCGCAGAGACGCCCCUCUUGAGUUCAGGAGCAAACCCUUGAGUUUUCUAAAAAUAGCUCAGUCUUUCCCCUAGCAGGGUUGGCAGCAGGGACCAAGAGAGGCACGCUUGCCCUUUUAUGGAGGCCAACAGCAUUGGAGACCAUCUCUGGCCAUUCAAAGGGACCUCCUGGGCAGAGCAGCCAGAACUCAAGAUAGGCUGCCAUCCUCUAACUAUCUCUUGGAGAUAGUUGCAUCCUGCCUGGGCACCGCCUCUCCUCUGUCCCCUGCCCUUGGCUGUGAAGAGUGUACCAUAGUCUCCAUCUUUGGCUAGAAGGCAGAGAAGAAGCAAAGGAUGUGGUCACUCUGGCAGCAUAUUUUGGCAAGUCUCUCCCUGUCAUUGGGCCUCAGUUUCUGCAUCUAUAACAUGAGGAGAUAGGCCCUGAUGCUCUUUAAGGUCCCUCAGCUCUAAAAGGACUAUGAUGCAAUGAGUAUGGGAUUUAACACCAGGAAUAUUUAUUAAUCAUCUACCAGGGGCGCCAGAGGGAAUGAGAUGGAUAUUGUAUGACUGAGCUCUGCAGUCAGUGUGAGGUGGGGGCACAUUGCCUGAGAUUCCUGGAAGCCCCAUUUCCAAGAUCCUUCUGUCUUUAUUCUAGAAAGCCCUGGGCUGACUCUCUGACCCCAGCUUGAACCCAGGUUCUGGCAGCUCUGGUCUUGAGCAUCUAGGGAAGGCUGCUGGCCCAGGCGAUGUAGUUGCCCACUGCUCCAGGACCCUCACAGGCGGUUUGGCCAUGCCCUUGACUUCUUGGUCCUCUCCAUCCUCUCCCACACUGCUGUCCACUGCCCCAAGCCCUGUCUGGUGGGCCUCCCAAUCUACCCCAUACCCUCCGUCUCUCCAUGCUCUUUCUGUGACUCAGCCCAAGAGGAUGCUUGCUUUCCUUUCCCAGACUUCUAUGACACCCCCACCGACCAUGAGGGAAAGGAUGGAACAGAAGAGAAAAGGGGAAAAAAAUAAAGCACUGUGGUUCUAAAUCUGAAGCUUUCCUGUGACCCUCCUGGAAUUUCCACGCAGACUCUCUGGAGCGUGUGAACAGGGCUCCCAGGGUCCCUGGCCCCCUUUGUCUCAUUCCUGCCGGGCAGAAGGCCAUCAGCUGAAUGUUCCCCGGGGAACUCCAUCUCACAACCAGGCUCCAAGUCUCUUUGGUCAGG
rnacentral:lncRNA from 1 species